CACGAAGAAAAUAGAAAAAUUAAGGCGACCAUCGUUACUGAUUCACACCGUUUAGUUCAGUACCAAUUUGAUAUUUUGUCUAAUUCAUGAAUAGAAAAGUAUCGAUAUUUCUUUUUAUAGACAAUAACGAUCUUCUCUUCAUUUGUUUUACUACGUGCCCAUUUAGUUACAGUGAAAUAAAGUUUCAGUUUAGCAAAAGUGUCAAAUGCCGCACAAGGCAAAUUCUAAAGCUCCUCUUAGAACUGAAGAGACUCGAGUAUCCCGGGACGGUGUCACCAGGGGCGUCGUCAAUCUGUUAACAAUGCUUUGAGCGGAGAAUAUGAUAGUCAUGUACGUCCCCAGCAAAUAUGCUCAGAAGGCUCAGAAUACUGGACAAGGUCGGGCGCGAGAGAGGAGGGUAACUCAAGGGUUUCGUCCCUCGAAGCCGCAGACCUCUCGCGCCGAGAACAAGACAUCGGAUUACGACGGAAUACAAGGCAAACGAGCGUUCACGCUUCGCCGAAAAGUCAAUUUUCACAGCUGUUCGCGCCGCAUUUCCUGCGCGCUCCAUUUAACGACUUUGGGCUACCCGAAAAUCCGUGCGGGUCUCCGAGGGGACCGUUUAAAGACUCCAUUAAGCCGCACACAUGGUAUUGCAAUUGUAAGGGGCUACGUGAUAAAGCGAUACGAGCGGACACCAUAAAAUUGAAUAUGGAAGAGAGGAGACACAUACACUACAAUUACAUCCUGAUUGUAGAUAUAAAACGCAAAUGGUACAUUGAAAAAAUUCAGCAUAUAACAAUUAGAAAAAAUUUAAACUCUCUAGUGAAUCAUAAUAAUUCUAUGAUUCAUAUCGAUAACUUGAAAGGGGAGAAAAGUAUGAAAUUCAUGAAAAUUUCGUAGAAUACUCGCACUCGCUGAUCUGGAAAAAUGACAUAUACUGUGCGGAUCGUAUAUCCACCACGAUCGCAGCUGUGUUCUAUAAAUAUUUCGCGGAUUUUAACGUCGUGCGGGACCAGCCACUCGCCUGUUAACUGCUUGUUUUCGUUCGAACAGCGGAUCACUCACGUAACAGAAGUACGCAAAUUCAUCUUCGGUUUCAUUUUUUUUUUCAUUUUCUGUUUGCGUUUCCUUCUGCUUCGCGAUAAAAAUAGAAUUACCACCGAUAUUUUAUUUUAGCAGUAAUGAGACCUGAAAGAAAAAUCAUUGAUAUUACAGGUAUCGAUUGCAGGUCACAUUCGGCGAAAACACGAUGGGACUGACAUUUGCCGACAUUUUGCGCAGAAACGACGAGCCGUUAAAGUGCAGUGUGCAUCGUGGGACAGCGUACUACUCAACUUUUAGCAGCAUUCGGCUUCUACAUUAAUGUCGUAAGGGCAAUGACGACGUAUGACUUGAAGAGGACGCACAACGCGCAAAAGUUUAGAUACGCGAACCUGGAAUUAAUGACUUCCGGAUGUUUCUUUAAUGACUAAUAGUCUCGUUUCGUUCAUUUCAUUUGCUUACGUAAAACCCCAUCUCGCGAUAGAUCAAGAUUUUAGUCACUGAAUUGCUUUGUGUCACACUGUGUGCCUUGGACUUUUUUUUAUUCAAGUGAAAUUUCAUCUGCUUUUAGCAAUUUUAUUUGCUUAAUUUAACGAAUAAGCGUAAGGAGAGACCGAUUCUCUUAUGUGAGAAGAAACACGACGAAAGCAAAUGGUAUGUCGAUUCGCUUGGGACAAGAAAGUGCUUGCCGCAUAACAAUAACGUGUAUACCGCUAGGAGCGGCACCGUGACACAGAAACGGUCAGCACCACGUUUCUUCCUGGUCGUAACUCGUAUUUCCAGCACCGGAAACACAACGUCGAAACGAAACGACGUUGGAACGCUGGAUGAUGUGCUUUCAUGUAAGAAAGCAAAACGUUGAGGAAGAAAAACGUUGAAAAUGAAUAAUUAAAAGUAUGCUCCUAAUUUUCUACAGAGUAAGGAACAUUUUGCAACAUUUUGCAGUGUUCGAAUGAUUUGUGAAACAUAAUUUAAUGCAAAUAAUAACAUGGACAUAAAGAUAUAUUUAUUUCCAAUUGCAUUUAAAUUUCUCAUCAAUAUCUUUGAAGAACGACCAAGAGGAAAGGUGGGAGGUUCACGUGCGACUAUGGGGAGCCAUAAAAUCAAGGCUCGCCGAGCGCAAAUUAGACUUGUUCGAUUUGCGUUCGCGAAAUACUCCUGCGGCACGUCCCGGUAGCAACGACCGCGAUAUUUGCACAUAGCAUCUAUUUAUACCCACACAGGGUACGGAGGAGCUCGUACACGCGACACUAGCAGCUUCAUCCCAACACGUGAAAUUAGUCUCUGGUACAAAACAGAACCCGUCUGCGUUCGUUACGUCGUCAAAGAGGUGCAGGAAACACGCACUGGCAGGAAGCGAAAUAAUCGCCAGCGGAACAAACUACUGUUUCCUGACUUCCGGAUAUUUUCCUAAUAUUGUUAUCUAAUCGCGAAAAUAUAAUAUUUAAUAAUAAUAAUAAUAAUAAAUAAAAUGAUAAAAUAUAAUACUCAUUAGGAUAUACUUGGUACGGUUUCACAUAAAACAAAUAAUCCUACUUCUGUGUUGAUUCGAGUUGUUUCUAGCUGCUUGAAAUGACUCUUCAUGAUAAGGGAAACUUUCAAGUGUUUUGCGACAAUAACGGAAACGUUUACGGCAUUCGUGUAGUCUCGUUAACGCAUGGCCGCCAUAGGGGAAGAGAAAUCUUCAAGAGAGAAAGAGAAAGAGAAAGUUAAAUCCUCGGUAGCGGUAUUGCGAAACGCGCGCAUCCGCUAUACGUGUAAACGACGAAAGGCUUACGGGGCACGUGCGGCCUGUGUAAACUCUAGAGAAGCGUUUACAAACGCUGCCCAGAGUAAAGAGGGUGAGGUUUAAUAAGGGAACAAAGCAGGGUACGCACGUGGCGGCGCGUACAACAUCCCCUUUCCAUCUCACAGCGACAAACGUUAGGCGGAAGUCGAGAUGUAAAGCUAUGCAUGAUAAUGAGGCGUUUGUAAUCCGCAUAUUAUGCACCAAGGCCUUUCUCUUUCUCGUAUGGAUUCCAGCGCGGAAAACGAAGAGUUUUCACGACUCUCCUUGCAUCCCGCAUGAAGAAACGCGAGUUAUUCAAGGCUAAAAGGGGGUUGGGGACACGUGCUAUCGAGCCUGUUAAACUCGAGGGGACAUGCUUCCUCUCAGGGGUGAAUCGAGCCGUGAAAAUGCGCGGAGAUUUUUAAAACAGCAUGAUUUAAUAGAGGCGCCGCGUAUAUAAAAGAGACAUCCUGCUCCGUUGUUUUUUUGAUGGUGUUAAUCAAUAACUUGUUGAGAUAUAUGAUGAUGAUUGGCGCUCGUGAUAUUAUGUGAUAUUACGUGGUAAGUACCGCGUAAUCUUAUCUCUUGCGGUGCUUUUUAAAUCUUCGCAUCUCACGCGAUGUUGCUAAAUAUACCUACACAUGUAUUAAACAGAUAACGAUGUAUAAAAUAUUCAAGAAUAAAGUACAUAUGCGAGAAGGAAAUUAACAUUUUUCUUUAUUUAAUCUGUUACUUUUCUUAUAAGCAUCUUGAGAAGGUAAAGAAAGUAAUAAAUCCGAGUCUGAGUCGCACCCAAACGAAGGCGGUGUCCAAGUACCCCUAGCUACUCGUAUUUCUCGUCCCUCUUCACUUCGAAGUCUAAAGCGUGCUUCAACAUUGUCGAGCUACCCUCUUGUGGUACAUAAAGCCGCGUAUAUGCUUUACUUGUCGGAAUACCGCACGGUAGCUGGAAAUAUGGUUUCAGUUCUUUCAGCUUUCAGCUCGCCCGAUAAACCGUGUCGCGUUGCAUAAUGAAAUUAAACAUUACAGCAAAAUCGUAGCCAGAAUAAGUCAGAAUUACAUAAUCCGCAUCCGUAAUUUUACGUGGAAGUUUUCAUCUGAAAAGAUAAACUAAUCACACGAUUAACAUAUUACUGCAAUUGAUAAAUAAUCUAUCAAUGUGUAAUUGCUGCGUUUGUAUAAUUAAUAAAUCGUGUAUAUUGAUAAAACAACCAGAUGGAAAUCUUUCGCGUCGAGAAAAUAGACUUCUCUUAAUUUCUCUUCUCCAUUAUAGAAGUUAUGACCGGAAGCGUAAGUAUCAGCAAUUAAACUGCAGAUUUCACUCAGUCGACAACGAAGACGGGAGAUAUGCAAAUUGGCGGACCUGUUGCGUUGCUUCUAUUUAAACCAGAUCCCCCUUGAUCCGUAAUCGGAUUUUCACGAUACGAGCAGCGAUUCACGAUUGAAUCCCGGGAGACGCAAUCGCGCAUUGAUCCAAUCGCUGUACGGUGACGCAAUAAUAAAAUAAAAGUAAAACAAUUACGAUAACUCUAACUUUAUAUAACAGAUAACACUUAUAUAACAGGCGAGAGAUAAUUGAUAGUACUUUAGAUAUAUAUCUUUUUUAAAUAGAUAUCGUUUUGAUAAUUAUAGCGACGUUUUUUGGCGUUGCUUAUCGGAAAGAUGAAACUGCGAUGAUAAACGCGCGCGAAAACGAAUGUAAAUAAUUAACAAAGGUAUAUCAGAAAAAUACGGAAUGCGUCACAGAAAAGGGUGGCAAAGGCACCCUUCCAAAGGGUUAUGCAACACCCUAAUAUGACAGAAAUUAUGCCACAACCUAAUACAUUAUUAUAUUAUCUUAUAUCAACCUAAUAUAUUAUUAUAUUAUCUUUUUUUCUUAAUUUAAUGUCAUUUUAACGUUAAUAUAUGUAUAAAGGAUUGACUAUUUCUAAGCUGCCAUUCUGGUUUUAUGACGUCAGAGAUGGGGAAUGUCACAUGGUAUAAACUUCCUGCAUCCUACAGCUUUAUUUUUUAUUUUUUUCCCACAAAAAUAAAUAUACAAAAUACUUUUUUAAUCUUGAAAUCUGUAAGAUGUGCUGAAAAUACUGAUAUCUGUUCGAUAGAUCUCGUAGAGCUAAAAUAAUUGAAAACGGAGAAGAAGAAAUUUAGUAGAUAGUAGAGAAUAUUUGUUUUCAUAUGCCGGCUUAAUUGCUCUAAAAUAAGCGCUGACUCAAGCCCGACGCUUCCGACUCUAGCUUAAUCCGUCUGUAACGCCGCGACACGAAGCUCCAGAUGCAGCUCGUAAUUUAAUAGCGUGCGAGAUGAGAGAUCAGCCGCGAAACGAUCGGUUCGUUCCAUGAAGAGGCGUUACGAAAGCAACUCACGUCAUUACGCCUCUCGAGAGCACGUCGGCGUCGUUAAAUAAUACGAUUAACCCAGCCACGGAGAUUGAAAACGUUCUUACGCAGCUCGUUGCACGCGUGAGACGUCGUUACAAGUUUUACAUUGAAAUUUUGUUGCUCGUUAGAUAACUCGCUAGUCGGAUUAUUCGUCGUUCGCACUAUCUGCAAUUCGUUAAUCUUCAUGCAGAGCAGCACUUGUGGCAUGUUAAAUAGAUCAUUACGUAAAUGUGAACGUGAGGUAAUUAGGGCGAUUAAUUUUGCAUUAGCGCUCAAGAGUCUACAGAGGAAUUUCCACUGGCGCGAAAAACAUUUACACGUCUUACGAGAACCGCGUUAUCGAGAGGAUAAAGUCUGAUCUACAAUGUGCUCUUUGCAUCUUGUUUCUUGAAUCUUUUCUCUUAUCUGACGCUUUCUCGACGUACCUGUUUUGAUGACAAUUGUGUUUUUCGUCUGUUUCAAAGUUCGUCAACUUUUACCUUAAAAUAGUAGUCAAGAAGCCAAAAAGCAAGAUGAAAAAAGCAAGAAACAAGAAGCAAAGACACAUUGUAGAUCAAGCUUAAUAUUGUUCCGCGACAUUGUAACUUUUUUGGGAAGGAAAAACGAGCUUGUUUGUUUAACAAGUGUUUAACAAGCGACAGAGAACGCAACGAAGAAAUAUUUGCAGAAAUUAGGGUAAUAGGAGUUAAUCUGAUCGUUUGAUCUGUCACGCCUCCUAAUCGGACGGACACAGUGAGAACAGUGUAGCGGUUGGUUGAAUAUAAUUGCUGGACACAAGGGACACUCGGAACGAUCUCACCAAGCGAAUUUGAGUCACUGAGACGAUUCUAUAUUAAAAUGAUAGAAAAUAGAAUAGAAUGUUACGAAACUCGCGUAAUUUCUUCAAACAGCAGAUUUAAAACAUUGAUACCUAAAAUAAUUGGAAAUAUGAGUUAUUUUCUGGUAUAGUAUAUUACAAGAGGAUAAAUUGAUGUAAAAAACAUGUUGCAUGUUGUGAUUGAAUCCAUAAACUUGGUAGCUUUGUUCGCUAACAAACUCAAAGCAGAAUCAGCGUCUUUCAGCUCGCUGAACCUCCAACCAGUUGGAAGCCUUUCAACAUCAUAGACGUUUAUUAAUGUCACAGAAUCGUGCACAGGUCCGUGCACUCGAAGUAUCGCGCGAUAUCGAUCGCUUUCUCUCUCUCAUAAGCGUGCAACAGGUGUCCGUUUAAUAUUCCUCACGUUGUUGUUGUGCAUUGAAAUCACUGAUUCUGUAAAAAUAUAUGAAGAGCCGCACGAGACAUCGUUGGCAUUUUCCGAAUACGUCUGUUCUUUAGUUAAUUUAUCUUAUCCAUCUUUUUUCGUAUGGAAUCGACACAUUUCUGAUAACUCAUCAAUAACGGAUCACUAUACACACAUCAUUGUUGAGUCCAUUUCUUGAAGAAAAGAUUGGAGAUAGAAACAAGAAGAGAAAAGUUGAAAUUGGAAACAUAAAUACUAUUGAUGUCAAGGAAUACGCGAAUUCGCUUGUUUAUUUCUUUCGGAUGACAAAGUUAUCGCGACGUUGUCAUUAAAUGAGAAAACGGCGGCGCAACGAUGACGCUACCUGUACAGACUUCCUCCGUGCGAGUGGAUGAAUAUGUAUGCUGAAUUUAAUUAACGAGUGAAGGUCGUAACUGUCGUCGUUGUCGUCGUCGACAGUUUGAGUUUUUUCGAUGUUGUUCGCUCUUCCGGAAGCGAAAGAGAGAGAGAAAAAAAGAGAGAGAAAAGGAGAUAUAUUAAUAAUUAGCUUUCUUUCUCUUCCUCAAAGCAGAGAAUCGUUGGCUUUAAUUGCAUUGUUAGAAAAUGCUGGAAUUUGCGAAGGCUGGGUAGCUAUUACGGUAUAGUAGACGAUAAAAUCGGGUCAGGAACACUCCUUACGUUCGAUAUUCGGUAUCCGUAAAAUGAUCGAUACGGCCGUUUCACAUGACAUUCAGGCAGAAAGGCGACGUAACGUUAUUACAUCAGACAUAAAUUGUCAUGGUGCAGAGAAGAUUAUACGCGACUAAUAAUCAUAUUCUAAACAUAACAUGUGCGAGACAAAUUAUUUUAAACCUCGUACUUAAAAUGGAUAAUUAAAUGUCAAUUCUAUGAGCUCGUUUACGUAUUGAAUAACAAGACACGUGAUUGUCAUUAUUUGUUUCUUUUAUUUUUCCCUUUCGAUAAAUCAAAGACUCAAUCUUUUAUAAACAGAGACUGAUGUCUAUAACUUUUGGAUUGCAUUAAAUUAAAAAAUUCUUUUCCAUGAAAUAGGCGAAACAAAGCGAAAAAUUUGAUAAGAUUCUUACUACAAUCUCACGGCAUUUCAAUAGCAGAAUUAUGUAAUCAUUUGUGUCACAAAUGCAGACUUCACGGAUAUCGGACACUGUUAACAAUACAUGACCAGUAGGCAGGAAGAUACCACGAGUAGUGACUGUAGAUAGCGAUGCAGGGACGUAUCGAUUUCGUCGGCGAAUGUGAACCGAAUAAGAGCGGGUGUGUCGAACAAAUUAGCCCAAUUGGACGUGGGUUGGUAGAACCAACUUUAAAAUGAUUUUUCUCAAUACAGUUAUUUUAAAAAAAACGUUAGGAAUUAAUUGCAAAGCAAUGUUGAAGUUGAAAAUAGAAUUUAUGUCUUUUUUACGCAACACACUUCGUGCUGAAGAUUCUAUGAGGGUCAUCAUAUAUAUGAUUCGGAUUAAUACGUUUAGCUUCAAUCGUUUCCAAUUAAACUUCAAUUUAAGAACGAGCAUUGUUGAUUAACGGCAAGCUCAAAGCCUUUCUUUCUUUCGGCUCCUAAUAUUCUAAAACAAAACUAUAAUAGUGCAACUGCGUGAGUAACAUGAUACACGGAUCGCCAGAACGAUUUUUGCAGCAGAAACAUCUUUUUGCACGAUUUUCAUUGUUUGAACGAAAACAGUAAAAUAUUUAGUCUGUAGCUCACUUAAUCUUCCAUCUCGAAUUUUGUAAAAAUGAAUGCUUUCGCAAUCUUUACUGUUAAUCUUAUUUAUACCCGAUGAGAUAAUUUCGAGGCAUAUUAUAAAUGAUCUGGACUUGAAGCAUGAACAAAUAGAGCGACGUUCGCGUGUAUCGCCCACACGCAGCACACGAGAUGAAGGAUUGCAGGAAGUGCCUUUACAUAAUCCUACGUGUAUCGCGGAGUGUCGAGCUUAUGCUUGCCAGCCGUAGUGCGGGAACUUUAGAAGUCCGCCUCCACGGUGAAUGGAAAAUCGCCUUGUGUGUCGUACGCAAAAAAUAUACAUUCCACAUUGCAUACCCAAUAACAUUGCAUUUCUCACAUUAGGACCUUGAUACAAGCCAACUGUUGGAGAUGGAAAAUUAGCAAAAAUGGACUUGUAAAGAACACGUCCUCAUUGCGACAAAAAAGUCUAUGUUCAGUUUUAUUAACGAUUUAUCUUCCCUUGUCGUUGCGAAACGUUAUACGUAUGUUCCAUGGAGGCUUCUAGUAAUAUAAGCAUGUACGAAGACUUGUGCUCUAUCAUUUGGACCGUCUGCUAAUACGGAAGAAGACGAUACUAGUAUUAGUAAAAGUAAACCUGAAGCGAAAGAGUCUUGUAUCGAGGCUCACAUCGAGAUUAUACUGUAAUCGGAAUCUCCUCUUCAAGUAACACCGAGUGCGUAACUUUUAGCUUUCAUUAUCGCACGGUUAACGCAAUUUGAGCGAACUCAAUUUUUUUGCAGAUGGAACCUCUCUCGUUAAAAGGUAAAAAAGAAAGAAUUUCAUGGAACUCCCGUACACGCAGGGGAUGACCACGCACGUGCAAUUACACGAAUGACAAGAGAAGGUGCGAGAGUGGUUGAAAGUGGAAAAGAACGGUGGAGAAGAGAACGCGAAAAAAAGAGUUCCACAAAGGGAGGGAGGAAGAUGAACGUGCGGCAAAAGCGAACGCGAAGAACGAUAUACGCGGAGGGAGCGGGAGGACUGGCACUGGGGACAAUAAAUGUCAGAACAACGACCUCGCGGUGGCUGGUCGGACGAGACGGCCAGACGAAACGUUGGCCAUCGCGAACAAAAAUCCUCUUCGCGACGCUUUAAUUCAAGAUCGUUCAGCUUUCUUUAGCAGAGGCGUUGUUACGAUUGUACCUUGUAAAUUAAAUUAAAAUACCUAGAAAAAGAAAUGCGAACACAUGUUUGUUUUCUCAUUUCCUCAUCUCACGAUUUGCUACGAGCGGAUUUUCCUGAUAUUGAGCAAAUCUGAGAAACAUUGCAUCACACGAUAAAUUCGGUUUAUGGCGCCUGCUGCUCACCCCCUCAGUCCUUUCCUUUCAACGAACUGGGUUACAGAAAUAUAUUUAUAGAAAAGGGGUUCUUGAAGGUGGAGAUGACUGGCAAGUUUGGAGGGAUAUUAUUGGAUCCCUCAUAACACACACCACGGUGGUGGAUCUCUGUGUCUUCUUCAAACAAAUCACCGAGCUGGUGCGUCUUAAAAAGGUAUCUUAAAAGCCAGGUCGGUUAGACGAUAAAAGACUGCGUUAAGAAUAUGUUUCCUCGGGUGGUUGUCUGGCACGCGGUUGAACCAGACUUUUAUGACCGGCUAUAUCUGUAUAUUCUAAGCGCGCGACGAUGUAAACACUUUAACAUCUAACGUUACGGAACUAGCAGUAUAUUGUUACAGUAUACCAUGGACGUUAUAAUCUAAGAAUUUUAAUUUUAAUACAGUGAACGCACGAUUUAUUAGUAACACGAAUUUUGCAGGAAAGCAUAAUUGGGAAAUGCGCAAGACAGAUGACAAAUGACAAGACAUAAUAUUUGCACAGGCGCUCAAAAUCUCAAGAAACUCUAUUCUGCCAGUCAAGAUAUUGAUGCUUUGCCGCUACGAAAAAAAUUAUCGCUACCUACGCAUUCAUUUUUCGUAGGUCGUUUCCUUUUUCAAAGUCGCGAGCUAAAUCACGCGCCUACGAUCAGACCCGCCAUCGAAUUACCAUUUCUCGUUAUUCGCGCUCAUAAUUCCGUUCCGACCGGCUUGAGAUCGUCCAACGCGCGAACGACGAAGGUCGCGAGGGGAUUCGAGGCAGUAUCGCGAGGCAAAUCGAUUUCACCCUCAGCUGCGGCUGCGACACAAAAGACGGGUCCUGAGCGAGUGCCGGGAGCGCGGCCGUUUUCAGCCGCGACGUCGUGCGAGCGAAGGAAAGCGAGCGGAAAAGGCGGGAGAGAACCCAGGGGGAAAAUAACCGGUACAGGGGGCGAACGAGCGCAAUUAGUCGUUCCACGGGAAAUGCACGCGGUAAUGAGAGACAGCCGAGCCGGCGGAUCCACGCGUACUCACGCUCUUCCGGAUAUCGCGUGAAUGCGUGCCGUUCCACCCUUUAUUUUGCAUUGUGCUCUUGACUUCGCUCGCUCAUGAACAAAGCGUGAGAGCGAGCACGAUCUUCUCGAAACAUCAAUCGUGAAACUAUCGCUCGGACUUGUUUUGCCUUUCCAACGGAAGAGAUUCGACGAGAAAGAUUUCAUGUGCGGAAAAAUGCGUUUCCUCAAAUCGCGUUAUCUGUGCGAUAUUGAAGGUAAAUAGCUAAUAGCUGAUAGUCGCUGAUAUAAAUUAUUGCUUGACAAAGUGUUGUUGAUUAAAUUUGCGCGAAGCACGCUGAAGAACGGCAAGUAUCGCGAAAAGUUUCGCGGAAGGAAGUAACGUGCCCGUAUGCACGUACGGACGCAAGAAUAUCGGUCGCUUAUCGACUUGCAUAUCCUUUAAGUCCACGUGCUCAGUGACGUACUCCCUGCGGGAGUAUAUCAUCCACUUCCGCUGAUGUCACAUCUCUUCUUCCCCUGGUAACAGUGUUUCCGCUGCAAAAAGCGGGUUUCGCGAAACUUUCCAUUCGACAUCCGGCGGUGCUCGCAUCCUGAUCGUGAAUGUUCGAUGACUACAUGAAGUAAGAUAGUAGAACCGAGUUUGGUAUCGAAAGUUUGCGGUGCCAUAAAACUAUUCUUUCUUUCUUGUUUGGAAUAUUUUUAUUUCCAUACAAAGCUGAAAUUAAAGGAGCAUUAAUUUGCUUUCAAAGAGAGAACAAUAUAUUAUCAUGUAAUACAUAUCAAGAGAUGAGUCAAAGUUUGUGUCAUACUUAUAUUAAUUUAUAAUUUAUUAUUUCAUAAUUACUCCAUUAAAAAAGAUUUAAUUUCAGAUAAAAUGAAAGCAUUAUAUUGGAAUCUUCGCAGAGGUCUUUUCGUGAGAUCCAGCCGCGUUAUCUGAGCAUCGAUCUAAGGACCGCAAAGUAACGGUGUGCGAGCAACGUCGUCGAUGCAACGUGCGAUACAAGAAAUACGUGGUGUACAAGACUCUUCAUAGACGCCGCGCAGCUGAUUACUUCCGGAAACAAACGAUAACCCGCGAUACACGACGUCGCAGUGCAUCGCCUUCUUGCCCUCCGCUCCGGCGAUCGAUUGAAAAUACCGCCACGAACGCGCCGUGGCUAUGUACGUAUCAAUACGCGGUUCGGCCGCAGUAAUUACGCGAUAACACUCGAAUUUUUUCGUGCGGUACUCCGAUUAAUAUGAAUGGAUCCCUUUGAUGCGGCGGGAGCCACGCGUUCCUCCGCCGAUAAACACUCCGAUUCGUGUACGCGAAGCUGGACCGUUCUCCAACAACGCGCGGAGUGUUUGAGGUGGACUUUCAAGCCCGUGUCAGGCUACGAAUGCAGACUGGGAUUCGAUCAAUCGGAACGUUGCUUGCUACACUUUGAUUGAAUCUUGGAGAACCGCUUACGGCGCGGCGGCCCGGAAUAUUUUACGGUCGGCAAUUACGAAAUUCGCGAGAACAAGCGAAUCGGACGAUGCGAGUUCCAGGCGAGUUAUAUAUUGGGUGCCAGCAGCAACAGCAGCAGCAGUUCGGGAGCAAAGGCUCCGCUGACGUCACGAGCUAUCUUUAAACCCGGCAUCGAGUCCAACGCUCUUCGCGACGCACUCACGCACGCACGCACGCACAUACGCAUGCACGCAACGCGCCACAUCUCGCGAGAUCAGAAGCAGACAUGAGACUCCUUGCACUGUGUGCCGCUGUGUAUCGUCGCACCAUCGUUGCUCGCAACAAUGUUCCAUUGUCUCGAUGCCUUUCUGCUUUCGCCACGAUGCGGUGUGCAUCCGUAUACUCUAGCUUGCACCCGCACGUGAAUAAGGCAGCCAUGUGCAACCAGGAUCAUGAGAGGAACUUAUGCACUCGCAAUUAAACUAGGGGAAUGCCGGGACAUUGGAAAAAGCCUGAAAUUUUUUACCAAGAUAUAAAGAAAGUGAAAAUAGAAUUAUUCUUAAAAGUAAAAUAUAUUCUUGACGGGACAGAAAAUAAAGGCAUCCUUACUCCAUGCCGAAACGGCAAUAAAAGAUUCAUGAAGAGCCCUGUAAUCGCGGUAAUGUAACCGGGAAGGAUGUGGAAAGUGGUUCCACAUGUGCGCAAACCGAACCAAAAGUACGCAAUAGCGCUUUUUCAUACUCGGGGGCCGCCGAAAAGAGCGGAUGCGUACUCGGAGAUUCGAAUGUGUAGAUUUAUUCUUACAUGUGCACAAGAGUUGCGGAUGUGCCGCGCGAAAACGUGGACGUUGAGUCAUCGUGCCGUUUUUACCCGCAAAAUUCUAGAUCUCGAAGGGUAGGCUUACUUAAUGCGCCAGACUGUUGCGCAAAAUUACAUCGUUAACUCGACCAUAACACAAUUUAACGAUGCGUAAUUCCGUGAAAAUAAGCAAAUGAGACAUUGGGACGAAUUUUGAAAAAUAUUGUAUUAAAUUUUGAAGUAUAAUAUGUUAUACGAAAACGAUUUCUCUUCGAGAAAAAGAGAGAGAGAUCUUUUUAUCUCGAAGAAAUAAAUUAAAAAAAGAAAACAAAAGCGCGCACACAUAUAUGAUAUACACAUAUGUGAGACUGCUUUAUCAUGGGUUUGCGGCAAAACCCAUGAUAAUAUGCAGAAUCGCCUCGUGCAUUAAACGGGGAAAGGACUCGCAGAAUGCAGUAACGUCCGCGUGAGUCACCGUUCUUCCUGUCUAUAAUGCGAUUUCGGUGGUCGUGACACAUAAGGAUGUCUCAUCGAUAAUCGUUUCCUCGUUAAUCCGUGAGCAGAGUGCGUUCUACGAAAGUCAACGCUUACUCGGAUUAGUGCGAUUAAUGAGUCGCCUCGAAGACAAAUUACAUGCAAUUAUUUCAAUUACUUCAAUUGAAUUAUCUAAUAAAUAAUUCAAUCAUUUCAAUUCUGAGGCACUGAUAUUCUAGCCAGAAGAAAUAUCAAAUAUCGCUAUCGAGUGUGCACUUAAUAGCGCUCUCAGAAAGCGCGAGCUUCCUCACGCCAAGAAGAACCACAUCUGCCGAACAUGGACGAUUUAAUAGCGAACCCUACGGCCAAACGAACUCACGCGGGAUUCGUGGCCUCGUUCGAACGAAACUCAAACGUAUCGCUCUCGCUCGCGUGGACGAUCGCAAAGAAACGAAAUAACGUUCUGCACGAACGAAUACCGUCGUCGGCUGGAACGACCACGCUUCGCUGUCGUAAGAGCGAUCGACCCCGAUCGAGAUUCGAUCGCGGUCUCCAAUCGAUAAUAAUAACAAUCCAUUGCACGUAUACAUUGUAGUUCCAUAAGAAAAGGAUUUUAUUAUGUCGAUCGUGAACACGAUGGAGAGAGCGAUCAUACGUAAGCGUAAAAAAAUGCGAUUCCGUCUAUAAUAUCAUGCUUCUAUCAAUUGCAAUUUAAUUGUUAAACAAUCUACCAAGAAGACCAAGGAAAUGUCUGUUUCCCUCUCACUAAUUUCGCUACGUUCGUGAUACUUAAAAUCUUGUUUAUUUCAGCUGUCUGUUACGUAAUUAUCUCAAUGUGCGCGCGUUUUACGCUUCUCCGUUUGAUUGAACGAGGAGAUCACCCCGCCGGAAGGGUCAGCCAUGCACACAAGCAAGCUUCCGGAUGUGAUGCUUACAGAAAAUGCGUAACAGUGGAUUCAUUCAAAUGACCCGUCGCGAUCGUGUGCGGCAGUCAAUUACGCGCAUCAUCUUGCGAUAUGCAUGCCGAUAUGUCGUAAAGUUCGCGUAUGAAGAGCAUUUAAAAUUAAUCUCCUAGUCAAGGAAGAUAUAUGUAUAUGGAAGAAAAUAAUCUUGAAAAGAAUAUUAAAUCAACAAUCUUAAAACUAGAAUUUCCUUCACGAAUUCAUUAUCGCACUAUUAAUCAGUAUAGAUUCAUCAAACAUGAAGCAGAUAAAGUUUAUAAUACUUAUUGCUUUAAAUAAUUGUUAUAUAAUUAUUAAUAUCAUUAUAUAUGGUUUACUCUCAUUAAUGCUACGCUAUGCUGUUAUUGAACCACACGUUAUUAUAUCUCGUAAGCAGACACGCGGCCUCGGUGAUUCGAUAUAUCCCGCCGGGUAUUGUAUGUCGAUCCCAAAGCACGCGAGACGGAAAACACAUUCGUCAUAUAAUUGAACAGCCAAUGAACGCCAGCGACAUCGUGUGCACGAGGAGCCCAGGAUCGAUCUACAUUAAGCACGACUCGUGACAAACAAACACGAUGGACCGAAGCGGUCCCGGAGUCCCUAUUAAAUCAUCAUCUGAUGCGCGACAUGCAACAUUUACUGCUCUUUCUCGCGAGCAGCGUUUCGCUUUAGAAAAUAGAUUCGAAGCACGAUACUUCAGUGGCUGCCUCGAAUCAAAUGUUAAAGCAGUCCAGCUGCGCACAAACGCAACCUUGAUCUUAAUAUCUUUCAAUUUUCUUUUCUAUAUUUUAAUGUAUGACGUAUUUGAAAUAUAGUAUAAAUUUCUAUCGUUAUAUGCACUUCUAUAUAUUGUUUUUUAAUUUAUCUAAGAUGAAGUUUGGAAUUGAUGGAAUUUCUUGAUUACAUCUUGGAACGUCAGCGCUAAAAUUGCUUAUUUUUCUUGUUGAGCAAAAAGAGGAGUGAUUCAUUCUGAUAGGUGUAUCCGUGAAUAAUCCCAUCAUCCCAUCUGGGAAUGAGCACCACACGGACGCUCUAAUUGAACGGAAUGAAUUACGGGGAUGUCGGUAGUUAUUUCAUCGAACCAACUAGCCGCACUGUCGACUUUUCGCACAUCGUCCACUCGGCUUCCCUUGUGCUAAUGCACGUAUACACUUUUCCUCUGCGAAAUACAUGAUACACAAAUAUAUUAUAUAAAUAACAUGAUACACAAAUAUAUAAGUAAAAUAUACACAUCCGGAGAUCCUACAUACAUCUAAGAAUUGAACACGCUAGAGAAUUUGAAAAGAAACAAAAGCGGAAAUUAUAAUAAAAUUCUUCAUUUUAUUCACGUAUUAUUAUUACGACUACAGUUCCAUUGCGAAAGCAACGGGAGAAACAGAAGCAUUCAGUCAUAAAGUACAUGAUAUGAGCGGAUACAUAGCAUUUGAUUCAAUUUCAGAGCGGAUCGCCGAUGUUUACGCCCCUUGAUGGAUAGUUAUAACGUUUAAUCACUCGUGACGUAACGAGAGCUCCAAGACGAAUUCCAAAGACAUUCGAUCGACAUAUCGAGCCACCUGCGCUCAUUAUCUGCGAUGUAUAAUGCGCGCGAUGAUGUACGUCAUUACGCGUUUUACUAUUAUUUCAUAAAAACGAUCGCCGACGCCGACCUCGAUUCUUAUCUUCCAACAAAAUGUCUAUCAACAGUAGGCGACUCCCGAUGCGAGCUAGUAAACGUCCGCUUUGCAAUGCAAAUUGAAUCUCCAAGAACCUCCAAGCUUCCAGCUUCAAAAUAUAGUUUACUCGAUCGUAAUUGUUCAUUAUUGCGAUCAUUUACGCGGAAAAUCGUCACGCGUGAGAGCGUGCAUCGUGAAAACUGGAUUGAGUGCGUUCAGACGCGUCGUGUGCAUCUGCAAAUGCGGAUGUUUAAACAAAAAAGCGGACCGUACGUAGGACGAUGUUUUCGCGAAUAAACUCCGUAUUACCGUGUUUCUUAUCGAACAAAGAACGCACAAGUGCUUUGAAAGGAACGUUAAGUCGAAUAAUAAAGUGGAAGAAAUACGCGCGGCAGGUACGCGUGGGUGCUAAAGCGAAAAGCCGAAGGAAAAGAAGCGAUGCUUACUCAGAGAAUUUGGAGGAGACUUAUAAGGCGCUGGGAGAGUGUUUUAAUAUUAAUUAAACAGUAUUCGAAUACCGUUAAUUCUUCUUUCCAAUUUCGUGCAUGAGAAACAGCACAUUCUUUCAGUUCAAAUAAAGUGCGUGGUACAUUUUUUAAAGCAGCGUAACUUCCUUCAGCAAUUUUGUUCUCAAGUAGAGUUCAUACUCGUACGCUGGCAUGUAGGUCAAUCGUUCUAAGUAUUUCUUGAGACAUUAAACGCAAGAAAGAGCACAUUAGCGAGGGUGCGGUCUGUUUGAUCUCAUCGUCAUCCAACCCGCGUUCUCAAGUUGUCCAUGAGGGAAGUUUCCGCAUGUAUUGUGCACAAGACCUAAAGACAUUGCGGUCUUCAAGCGAAUGUGAUCCGGACGAUCGUUUCAUCUUGCAUAAUAAAAGCAUUUUGCAUAAUAAUGAGCGACCCAGAAAGAGCUAUAUUUCCAGGAUAUCAUUUGCUCUUUAAAAAAUGCUUUAUGUGCCAAGGAUAAUAUCAGCAUAAAAAUUAUGCUAUUUAUAGGAAAAGUGUAACACAAAAAGGCAAUGUAAAAAAUUCUCUCUUGAGCAGAUAAAAUAUCAUAAAUUCCUCAGGUCUUACAAUUAGAUCCGGAAAGACUGGAUUCAUGUUAAUCAUCAGUUGAAUUCGUCGCGUCGGCGCGACUCGUCGACUUAUAAGGCCCGUCCUUCGUGCCGUUAAACCGCAAUAAUGAAGUCACUCGGUCAAGGUUCCGGAGUGGAGUUUCAUCGAAACCGUCGCCGCCAUUUCCUCGUCCGCGCGUGUCGGACCAUCCACGGCUCUCAUCAUCGCCUCGAGUAUUUUCGGUCGAGCGAGAUGUGUUGCUCCGUUCUCGGCACGUACGAAUAGAGCCUUCGUGCUCACAUCAUUUGAAGAAAAAAAAGACUCGUCCCUAUCGCAUGUGAUUCACUCGUUCAAUUAUGGAAGCUACGGAACGUCCGGCGUCUUCGAGUCCUGAAAAAUCGCACUCUCGACGGAAUUAUUCACAUCCGCUGUUACCAGAGCGCGGAAAUCCUCGAUUACUGUAAAUACGAGAGUCGCAGUUGACUCUAUGAGUACCGCAAUUACUUUUGAGUGAUCCCGCUAAACCAUCUUUGCAUAAUCAAGAAAUUUAAGAAAGAUGUUAAUCACCAAUAAAUAAUAAAACAAAUCAUUUUAAUGAAACA
rnacentral:lncRNA from 1 species